AAGUGGUUAGAUUCUUUCUAAAUUAGAGGCAAUUUGAAAUAAUUUAAAUUAGCUCAACCCUACUGCACUUACCGAACUAGAUAAUGGUGUAGUAGGGGUAAAUUCUCCGCGUUCGGUGCGG
rfam:Human echovirus 6 strain Charles, complete genome.